UGAAAUGCACUUUUUUGAGGGGGAAUUCACAGUCACUAAGUUGUUUUGUGUGUGUUUGUUGUUGUGUGUUUGUUUCCAUUCUGUUGUGUAUGUCUUUGUGCGUCCAAGCAAAGGCAGCAUUCUGAAAAUAUGUUUCUUUGCACAUGCCAUAACAAUGAGGAAACAUGCGUGUUUAAUAUGAAUCUUUUCAUUCACGAUUCAUGUGAUAGUCAGUACCCUUUUUAGGGUAUGUGUUUGUGCGUGCAUGUGUGUGUUUAUGUGUUCACUUCAAACCUUUCUGCUCUGGCUUUGGUAAGCAGAGCACAGAUAACACAGAUGUAGUUAGAACAUAGUGAUGACUGAUAAUGCCUGUUUUGAUAGGCAUGAGCAAGUUCACACAAAGCACAUCUUCAAGUAAGUUCAUUUACAUUUUCUUCACAAUGCAAGACUACAUUCAAGUCAUCUUUUUUAGAACUUCAAAACACACGUGGAUCACUACUGAAGUAACGAUGGUGAAACAAAGCGAGCUGCUAUUUCCAUUCGAGAAGUGAGCUGGACUCUUUAGCCACAUUUUAGUUAUGCAUAUCAUAAUGUGCCUUUUGUAACAUUUGUAGAUAUUUUUGGACUUUUGCAUUUACUGAGAGAUGUAUUGUUUUAUUUUCAACUUUAUUUUGAUAUGUUCUCAUCAACAUUUUGUAACAUCACUUAUGAAGACAAUGGUCAUUUGAGUGCACUCAUAUUAACUUUGUAUGUUGUUUUCCCUAUGUCUGUCACUUUUAAAACUCAAAUUAUUAUUUUUAUACAUGACUCAAAACAUAUUUCCAUGCUGUGUUCCAGACAAACUAAGUAUAUUAACUGUAAAAUGAGAAACAGUGCUGGAGCUUACGUUUUAGAAACUGCUUUUUGUAGCUCCUUCAUUAAUAAGCACAUCUGUUCUGUAAAUUCAAUGUGAUCAUGUUGUGCAGUUGAAAAGUUGCAUUGGGUGGCAAGAACUAUAGCAUUGAUUGCAGUGCAUAAAGUUGGAGCUGAUAAGGAAUUACAUUUUUGCCCCCCCGUUUUCAGAGUUUAGAUGGUGAGUAGGGAUGCAUGGUCUCAGGAACAUUUUAGGAUGUAUAGAAAGCUUGGAAAAAGCAAUGAAGCUUGGAUUAAUCAAAGAAAUAACAGGAAAAAGUCCAGACAAGAAUAAGGCACUUUAGGAUAAAGGCUUAUUGUGUAAAAUGACACAUCUUUGUCUUGAAAUGAUUUUAUUCCUCACUGUUACUGUGCACCUAUGCAGAAACCUGAUGGUUGUGAGUAAGAAAAGGGGAUCGGGAGAGACCCAAUGUCAUUGGUUGUUGUGUUAAUCCUCAAAUGUACAUGAUUUGCUGCUCACGAUGCCAUUGAAACUGUCAUUAGAACGUGGUGUGGUUUUGAAAUGUGCAGACAAAUAUGUAACAAUGGACCUGGAAAGAGGUUAAUGGGGUUCAAACUGUGAACAAAGUUAUCGGACUUUACCACAUAUUGUUCUUGCUUUUGAUUGAAUGGAGAAUUUUUUGAAGUUACAAGUUGGAAAGUGUAAUGAACUGACUGAAUAAAGAUACAAAGUGCCAUCACACUGUU